AAAUUGAAGAGUUUGAUCAUGGCUCAGAUUGAACGCUGGCGGCAGGCCUAACACAUGCAAGUCGAACGGUAACAGGAAGCAGCUUGCUGCUUCGCUGACAAGUGGCGGACGGGUGAGUAAUGUCUGGGAAACUGCCUGAUGGAGGGGGAUAACUACUGGAAACGGUGGCUAAU
rnacentral:rRNA from 1 species